GACGAGCUGUCCUAACGUUGUUCGGAAUCACUGGGCUUAAAGGGCGCGUAGGCGGUCCGCCAAGUCAGGGGUGAAAUCCUGCAGCUUAACUGUAGAAGUGCCUCUGAUACUGGCGGUCUUGAGGGAAAUAGGGGUGUGCGGAACUUCCAGUGGAGCGGUGAAAUGCGUUGAUAUUGGAAGGAACGCCGGAGGCGAAAGCGGCGCACUGGAUUUCUUCUGACGCUGAGGCGCGAAAGCUAGGGGAGCAAACGGG
rnacentral:rRNA from 1 species